GAGACCUUGAUAGGAACCCUUCUUUGUCUCUGCGUCUCCUUCCUUUCCUCGCAUUUCUCUUCAGGUUUGUGGUCCCCCUUGCACCCAGGAAGAACUGGGUCCUGCUGGGUGGGACAAGUGGCGCCUAACUGAGGUUCGGAGCGUUUUGCCUUAGGUGGAGAUUACGGAGUUUGACUCCCCCAGAGAAGUUCGUAGGGACCCCAAGAAAAAAGAAGUGAAGGACUGCUUCAGCAGCUCACCGGAGAGAGAAAUCCUUGGUAAGUGAUUCAUCUCCACUGAGAAAUGGGAACUAAGCUUUCUAAAGAGGCAGCCUUUAUAAAAGGCUUAAAGGUGGCUCUCAGGGAAAGAGGAGUUAGAGUUAAAAAGAAAGAUUUGAUAAACUUUUUUAUUUUCAUAGACCAGGCAGGUCCAUGGUUUAUUAUAGAUGGCGCAGAGAUACAUUGUAAGAAAUGGAUAAGAGUAGGAAGAGAAUUAAGUGAAAUUUUGGCAAAGCAGGACCCCGAUGCUAUUCCUGCAAAUAUAUUUACUUAUUGGAGUCUAAUCCGUGAUUUAAUACAAAGUGCAGUUGAUGAUCCAGAGAAACAGCAGCCUUUGUCAGUGGCAGAAUAUUGCCUCUGUCCCCUGUCUCUGGAAGCUUCAGAGAGCUCCCUCCCUACUAAAAAGCCUCCAAUAGCUGCAGACAGGCCCGAAGUCCUGCAGACUGCUCUCUACCCCCAUAUCCCGGUAAGCGCAUUGCCUGCUGACCCGCCACUGAUCAAUCUAGAAUUUAAAAAAUCUUUGGCUGAAAGCCCUUUAAUUUCUGGGGACACAGACACUUUAGAGGAAGAGAUAGUCCGUCCCCGUAAGCCCGAGCGAUUGCCGGGCGCUUCAGCUCCUCCCUGCAAUGCCUCGUCCUACCUGCCACCAAUCUGCGCUCCCGAGCCGUGGCCCCAGGCGCUGCCGGUCCCUACUCUCAUUGAUGCUAAAGACAAGCUCGCGUCUCAGGUAGCAGGAUUACAAGAAGUUUUAGAGCUCCAGCAACAGUACGCCCGCCUUUCCACAGAGCUCGCUUCACUCC
rnacentral:lncRNA from 1 species